UUUAAAUUAGUUGACAAAAUAAACAUAUUUCGCAUUUGUUAACUACUUAUGUAAAUUUGGUUGACUUUGCUAGGGAAUUAAUGUGUAUAUGCAGAAAAUAAUGAAAUCGAAAGUUGUAUUUUGAUGAAGGAAAAAAUGUGAUGUCGAGCUUCACGGUGGACGAUUAUUUUAGUUAUUUAAAAAAAAGUAUAAUGUCAUUGUCAAUUUUUUUACAAGGGCAAAAAGAAAGACAUUAGCAAGUUGGCAGAAAAGAUAAUCUUUGGGAAAUAAUAGGGUAAUGAUAUAAAGGUCAGCGCAUGUUAACGAGACGGGAAGGAAAGUAAGUUAGCACAAAGGAACGUGAAUGUUUUAAGCGCACGAUAGUGGAGAAAAAGGUGGGAGAUGGAGUCAAUGAGUGGACAGAGAGAGACGAACGUGCGGUGGUGGGGAAGCCAGGGAGUUGACUUAAUAGUGAAUUAAUGAUCAUUUUGUUAAGUUGUGUAGUUUUUGUCAUUAUUAAUUACGACAAAUAAGUACUAGUUUAUCAAUUGUCUCUCCACUCAAUCACGGGUGAUAAAUAAAGCUGCCACCAUCUUCUUUAUUAUGGUUUCGGAUAAUUAAACAUAAACCAAAGAAAUAGAUGGUAGUGAUUUCUCCGAAUGAAAUAAAUGGUGGUUUAGUAAUAUUUUGCGAUAAUAAAGCGUAACUUCAUUUUGUUGCUAAUCAUAUGCUUUCUAUAAUAAUAUGUACAUACUGAAUGAAAAUAUCAGUGAGUGCCUUAUUUAAAAGAAUGAUUGGAAUGGCCGAGGCUGGAUAAGAUGCUGGUAAAUCAAAUGUUAUCAUCCAUAAAGAAACUGAAUUUUAUUCUACAGACUACAAUCCCCAGUGCCCUGCUUGGAAGUUAUGAUACAUUGACGACAUGUACAAGGCAUACGCACACUAUCAGAUAAAAAACAUUUACAGAGUUGUAGCUACAAAAGAUUGGCAGAAUUUAUUUUCUAAGCGUACGCAAAGCUUCUUCUUUUGACGAGAAUCAGAUCACAAGCCCCUAUACUGUUUACAGAAGAUCGUCAUUGGAAAUGUCAAAAUAUAUUCGGCUAUGAUAAUAGAUAGUGGCACAAUCCGGAACAAGAACUCCUGGAAUAUAAGGAUUUAUUACACAAACAAUUACUAACAUCCCUCAAAAUAAUUACAACAGCUUCUUACUAACCAUCUAAGCCAACAAAGAGAACCCACACACCGGCACUUCUUCCAGAGUAACAACCAAAUCUGGCGGCACGAGGAAGAACCAUCGAUGACAUCGUUCGAUAAGAGAAACCAAAGAUUUCCACCUCAUGUUCAUCAAACCGAGAAACCUUUACAUCCAUUUAACCGUACACCCAUUUAAUCAGAAAUCACAUAUAAGGAAGUGGUACGGCCUCGAGGUUCUUUCUCUGGCGAACAGUUACCCCUAAUCAGAUUGGGGAGCUUAAACAACUGUCUCACCUCCCCAUAGCUGACAAAACAAGCCUCCCCAACCGCAAAGACCACCUAUAUACCCAUUUUGUAGCACUAAGAGUGAAUCAUACCAGUUGAUAGCUAGAGCCUAGAUGGUUGUUUAUGAGUUAUGUACUUAGUCUCAAAUAGUAUGAAACCUUAAAUGAUGCUCACGUUCAUGGGGGUGUUUAUCUGUUUUUGGUUGAGGAAAACAAAUAUUUUUAUUUAUCCAAUUGUAUAAUGUGCACUUGCUCUUCGCACAGUCUUCUAUAACUCUUUUCAAAAAUGCUUGAGUUGACAAAUUCAGCCAUAAAGGCGGAUAAUGAAAGUGUGCACGAGGUUCUUAGUCAAAAAGCAAAAGAGGUGAAACCAACAAACGUUCUGAAACGUAAACAUUAGCCUAUUUGUUGGAACUGGAACAAAGAUGUUGAUGUUGGAACAUGGAAAACAUGAUACGUCAUUUAACAACACGUCUUUUAUCGACAUGAACUUAUGGAAACAAGCAAUAGCUCUUGAAAACAAACGAAAAUAAGUUGCAUUAAAAUAUGAAACUAUGUUUUCGUAAAAUGAUGAAUUGGAGUUUGGAUUUCAUGAAGCAAUUUGCUUUUUGUGACCCUUUGGAGGAAUUGACUACAUUCUCGUUGGUGCCAUUGGAAAUACUCAAUUCUCGUUGGUGCCAUUGGAAAUCAACACAAUAAAAAGGUUAGGUUCUCUCCAGCAGGUGACACAUCAGCAUUUUUAAGCUCUGUGGAGAGGACAUGUCAUUAAAUGAAAAAACUCAGGUAACCAAUCAAAACAUUUUGUAUCUCCACAAUCGGAAAUCAACACAAUCAGAUCGGGAGAAGCUCUCUCUCUUCCUCUUUCGAUUUAAUCACUGUCUCUCUUUCUCUUUUGCUUUGAAAUCGAACGAGGAUGGAGAAGAAGACAGCGAAGAAUACAGGUGCUGAAGAACUUCAGACCCAAUCACCACGCUCUUCUCCGCCUUCUCUUCACCACUCUCUUCUCCGGCUUCUCUUCACCACUCUCUUCUCUGGCUUCUCUUCUCCAUUUAGCUGCCGUCAAUGUCAACUUAGAGAGAUAGAGCUCAGCCAUGUUUCUCCUCCUUCCCUGUUGAUCUCUCUUCCUCCAUGUCACCUCUAUAUUGUAUUAGCGUGGAGAUUCAUUAGCAUCACCAGCCACCUCUCCUCAUCUCACCGGAGCAAUUGUCUCUCCCCGGGGAAGCCAUUUUUGUUGUGAUCCUUAUCAUUGUGGGAUCGUGACCAAAAUGAAAUGAGAAUUGAAACCGGAGCCGUCACGUUCCAUCAGGACCAGCCACCAAUCCGAGCCCCAUUAACCAUCCAUCACGGGAGAGCCGCCGUCGUGAUGUCACCACCUUUGCUUAUGGGUUUUGGUUAUGUCUUUGAGAUUUUAAUAAAAUUGUUAUCAGAUUAAGAGGGAGAUUUCGACCAUGAAACUCGUUCGUUAUCCUUGUGUUGUUCGUCUUUACGAGGUAAAGUUUUGUUCUUUCCUCUACUUUAUACUGAAAAGAUUAUAUCUAUCUUCAUAUAGAAGUUGAUUCAUUGCUGUUUAGGUUUCUAGCAGGUCGCACAAAUAUUUACAUUCUCUUGGAGUAUAAUACAUGUGGUGAACUGUUUAUAGAAUUGUGAAUUAUCUAGCUCUCGACUCAACUAUUUCAGGUGAUGAUAAUCUUUGGAAGACAUUGGUUAUCCACUUGUUACAUGUUAUAGGUUCGUAAUGAACGUAUUAGUGAAGCAAAAACUAGGAAGUACUUACACUAGCUUACCAAAGGAGUUGAUAGUAAAGGGGUCUACCACAGAGAUCUAAAGGUGGUUUCUUUUGCUGACAAUCAACAAUCUUUUCAAACAAAAUCUGGUUUUGGUUGUUUUUGUAGCCUGGAAAACUUCUGCUAGAUUCUCAAGGAAAUCUCAAGAUAUCUGAUUAUGGGCUCAGUGCAUUACCAGAACGAGUAAUGGUGGUUUCAGUUUAUUGUUUUACUUUCAUAUUGAAUUUUUAUCAACUAAUCAUCUUACUUGUAUCUUAAGGGAGUUACCAUUUUAAAGACAACUUGUGGAACUCCAAAUUAUGUUGUCUUUUAAGUGUUGAGUCAUAAGGGUUACAAUGGUGUCGUGGCAGAUGUAUGGUCAUGUGGGGUCAUCCUUUAUGUUCUGAGUCAUAACUCAUAAGAAUUACAACUGAGCCUUGUGAUGAGAACGACUCAUGUUCCAUUAUCUUAUAUUGCAGUAUGUUGUGUUUUAAGUUUUAACUAGAGGAAGAAUACAAAGUUAUAUUUCUAAACAAUUUUUUUUUCCUUUUAUUGCAUAGAAUCUAUUCUU